rnacentral:rRNA from 1 species
ACAUCAGCGAGUAAAGGGAGGUAAAUGUUAUGGAAUUGNGGAGAAANUGGUGUAGGUGUUUGGUNAGAUGGUGAGAAUCCGGGUCUCACCNGGGACUGCAUCCAUAGUNCUUGAAUAGAGUAGGUAGUGGUGGGGAAUUUCUUAGUAGCGGAAAAUGAGUAGAUAUAGGNAGGACCAUCAGUGGGAAGGNUCUNUUGGUUGAUACUGACGUGAGGUGAGAAAGUGUGGGAGCAAGCAGGAUUAGAUACCUUGGUAGUCCACGCUGUAACCGAUGUCGACUAGCUUUUGGGAUCCUUGAGAUAUUAGUGGCGCAUCUAACGUGAUAAGUUGACCCCGUGGGGAGUGCGGCCGCAAGGUUAAAACUCAAAUGAUUUGAUGGGGGCCCGCACAACCGGUGGAGCAUGUGGUUUAAUAGAAGCAACGCGAAGACCCUUACCUGCCCUUGACAUGUCCGGAAUGUUGCAGAGAUGCGAGGGUGCUUUCGGGAAUGGGAACUCAGGUCAUGCAUGGUCUGUCGUCAGCUCGUGUCGUGAGAUGUUGGGUUAAGUCCCGUACCGAGCGCACCCCUUGUCCUUAGUUCCCAGCAGGUUAUGGUGGGCACUCUAAGGAGACUGCCGGUGACAACCCGGAGGAAGGGGGGGAUGGCGUCAAUUCAUCAUGGCCCUUGCGGCCUGGGCUACACACGUGCUACAAUGGUCGGUACAGAGGGUUGCCAAGCCGCGAGGUGGAGCUAAUCCCAUAAAACCGAUCGUAGUCCGGAUCGCAGUCUGCAACUCGACUGCGUGAAGUCGGAAUCGCUAGUAAUCGUGAAUCAGAAUGUCACGGUGAAUACGUUCCCGGGCCUUGUACACACCGCCCGU